rnacentral:rRNA from 1 species
GACGGAGGGUGCAAGCGUUGCUCGGAAUCACUGGGCGUAAAGGGUGCGUAGGCGGUCUCGCAAGUCUGGCGUGAAAGCCCAAGGCUCAGCCUUGGAAGUGCGCUCGAAACGGCGAGGCUGGAGUGCCGGGAGGGGAAAGUGGAAUUCCUGGUGUAGAGGUGAAAUUCGUAGAUAUCAGGAGGAACACCGGUGGCGAAGGCGGUUCUCUGGGAAUAUCCUGACGCUGAGGAGCGAAAGUGUGGGGAGCGAACAGG